AUGACGCAACGGCCGGUACUCAUACAUCCCCGGUUGUUGCGACAAACGGUUAUUUACCGUUAAACUGUUCAUGCGUUGGUUUUCUCCAUAAAAUUUGACGCCACGGCGCCCGGAGCUGCACACUCGCGGGCGUCACCCU
rnacentral:sRNA from 2 species